rfam:Ipomoea nil DNA, scaffold: scaffold0198, cultivar: Tokyo-kokei standard.
CUACUGGUUGAUCUGCCAGUAGUCAUUAUGCUUGGUCAUCAAAAGAUUAAGCAUGCAUGUGUAAGUAUGAACUAAUUCAGACUGUUUGUUGAAACUGACGAAUGGCUCAUUAACAUCAGUUUAUACGUUUGUUUGAUGUACCUUACUACUCGGAUAACCGUAGUAAUUCUAGAGCUAAUACGUCUGCCAACAACACUCCCGACUUCUGCUGAAGGGAUGCAUGUAUAGAGUAAAAGGUCGACGCAGGGCUCUGGCCCCGUUUGCUGCGAUGAUUCAUGCCAUAACCGACGGCAUCGCACGGCCUUAGCGCCGGCGACGCAUCAUUUCCAAUUUCUGCCUAUCACUUUCAUGUAGGAUAGUGGCCUCCAUGUGGCUGACGAGGUUGGACGGAGAAUUAGGUGUUCCGAUCCGGAGAGGGAGCCUGAGAAACGGCUACCACAUCCAAGGAAGGCAAGGCAGUGCGCGCAAAUUAGCCGCAAUCCUGACACGGCGGAAGUACAGUGAAACUAAAUAACAAUACGGGCAAUCGAUCGAGUCUGGUAAUUGCCGAAUGAGUACAAUCUAAAUCCCUUAACGAGGCAUCCAUUGCGACGAGGCAAGUCUGGUGCAGCAGCCGGUUAAUUCCAGCUACCAAUAGCGUAUAUUCUAAGUUGUUGCACGUUAAACAAGCUCGUUAGUUGGGACUUGGGGAUGGGCGCCGCAGUCCGCCCCGGCUGGUGCACGUCGUCUCGCUCCCGUUCUGCCGGCGAUGCGUCCUGGCCUUAAUGCGCCGAGGUCGUGCCGUCCGGCGCUGUUUUACUUUCAGAAAUUAGUAGUGCUCAAAGCAACCUACGCUCUGUAUACAAUUAGCAUGGAUAAAUAUAGCGAUUUCGGUACCAUAUUACGUAUGCCUUUUUCGGGAUCAGUAAUGAUUAAACAGGACAGUCGGGGGAUUCGUAUUUCAUACGUCAGAGAUGUGAAAUUCUUGGAUUUAUGAACAGACGAACAACUGCGAAAGGCAUUGCCAGGGUUGUUUUCAUUAAUCCAGAACGAAAGUUGGGGCUCAAGACGAUCAGAUACGUUCCUAGUCUCAACCAUAAACGACUUGCCGACCAGCGAUGGGGAUGUUGCCUUUUAGGACUCCGCCGCACCUUAUUGAGAAAUCAACAGUCGUCGGGCUUCCGGGGGGAGUUGGUCGCAAGGCUGAAACUUAACAGAAUUGACGGAAAGGGCACCUACCAGCGAGUGGAGCCUGCGGCUCUAUUUGACCUCACGACACGGGGAAACUUACCAGGUCCAGACAUGUAAGGAAUGACAGACUGAGAGCUCUCUCGAGCCAUUCUAUGGGUGUGGUGUGCGAUGGCCGUUCUUAGUUGGUGGAGCGAUUGCUGGUUAAUAUUCCUGUUCACAUCUCUCUCUG